UUUCGGGAUCGGGAUCGUCUCGCGCGUCGAGACGGCUGGCGUCGCGUUAUCGGGUCCGUCGUUGAUCGGACAAAGCCGGUUGUUUUGUUCGUUCUCUCCGUUCCCUCUGCGUGCGUGUGCGUGGGUGCGUGCGUGUAUGCGUGCGUGCGCGCCGACCAAAGACAUCCUCGCGUGUGGAGCUUCGUGUUCGAAAUAAACCGAAAACGAAAAUCGCGAGCGAACCGCCUCCACGGAAGCAAGCCCGUCGUCGCACGAACCACUACACUAGGAAUAA